rnacentral:misc_RNA from 1 species
GAACGCACCUUGCACCCUUUGGCAUUCCGAAGGGUAUGCUCGUUUGAGUGUCAUUGUACUCUCACACUUCUGAUCGUUUGGAUUGGGAGCGGUGGAUUUGGGUGUUGCCGCUUUACUGAGGCUCACCUUGAAUGCAUUAGUGCAACUCUUGGUUGGACAUAGUAUGGCGUGAUAAGUCUUCGCCGGCACCUCACCAGAGGGUGGCUGAUCAGGAGCUCUGUGCUCCAAACUGUCCUUGGACAAUGACUGACAACUUGACCUCAAAUCGAGUAGGACUACCCGCUGAACUUAAG